rnacentral:rRNA from 1 species
GAUGAACGCUGGCGGCGUGCCUAAUACAUGCAAGUCGAGCGAACAGACGAGGAGCUUGCUCCUCUGACGUUAGCGGCGGACGGGUGAGUAACACGUGGAUAACCUACCUAUAAGACUGGGAUAACUUCGGGAAACCGGAGCUAAUACCGGAUAAUAUUUUGAACCGCAUGGUUCAAUAGUGAAAGACGGUUUUGCUUUCACUUAUAGAUGGAUCCGCGCCGCAUUAGCUAGUUGGUAAGGUAACGGCUUACCAAGGCACCGAUGCGUAGCCGACCUGAGAGGGUGAUCGGCCACACUGGAACUGAGACACGGUCCAGACUCCUACGGGAGGCAGCAGUAGGGAAUCUUCCGCAAUGGGCGAAAGCCUGACGGAGCAACGCCGCGUGAGUGAUGAAGGUCUUCGGAUCGUAAAACUCUGUUAUUAGGGAAGAACAAAUGUGUAAGUAACUAUGCACGUCUUGACGGUACCUAAUCAGAAAGCCACGGCUAACUACGUG